CCUACGGGUGGCAGCAGUGGGGAAUAUUGCGCAAUGGGCGAAAGCCUGACGCAGCGACGCCGCGUGAGGGAUGAAGGUCUUCGGAUCGUAAACCUCUGUCAGCAGGGAAGAACGGUCACUGUGCUAAUCAGCAGUGAAUUGACGGUACCUGCAAAGGAAGCACCGGCUAACUCCGUGCCAGCAGCCGCGGUAAUACGGAGGGUGCGAGCGUUAAUCGGAAUUAUUGGGCGUAAAGCGCUCGUAGGCGGUAUGUCAAGUCAAGGGUGAAAUCCCCGCGCUCAACGUGGGAACUGCCUUUGAAACUGGCAGACUAGAGUGUGUGAGAGGAUAGUGGAAGUCCAGGUGUAGGAGUGAAAUCCGUAGAUAUCUGGAGGAACAUCAGUGGCGAAGGCGACUAUCUGGCACAUAACUGACGCUGAGGAGCGAAAGCGUGGGUAGCGAACAGGAUUAGAUACCCUUGUAGUC
rnacentral:rRNA from 1 species